CUCUUCUUGUGUAAUAAAUGUGAAGUAUGACCUGCCCACUGAUUAAUUUUGAAGGGCCGCGGUAUUUUGACCGUGCAAAGGUAGCAUAAUCAUUAGUCCUUUAAUUGUGGACUGGAAUGAAUGGUUGGACGAGGAAUAUACUGUUUCUUAAUAUUUAUGUUUGAAUUUAAUUUUUAAGUUAAAAAGCUUAAAUUUAUUUAUGGGACGAGAAGACCCUAUAGAGUUUAUACAAUUUAUUUAAUUAUUUUGUUUGAGUUUAUUUGUUGUUAAUUAUUUAAUAUGUUUUGUUGGGGUGAUAGGAAGAAUUAAUUAACUCUUUUUUAUUUUUUACAUUUAUUUAUGAUAAGUUGAUCCAUUUUUGUUGAUUAUAAGAUUAAAUUACCUUAGGGAUAACAGCGUAAUCUUUUCUGAGAGUUCUUAUCGAUGAAUGGGUUUGCGA
rnacentral:rRNA from 1 species